CCCCAGUCCACACCCAGGACCGUGCCUUCUGCAGACCUCCUCUCCCACUGUUCGUGUCAGCCCUGUUCUACACUGUGCCCUGUUUCUGAGCCACUGAGCAUCCUCUGGCUCCAGCAGAGAAAGUUCUGGGGCUGAGCCACGUCUGGGCUUGGCUGGCUGUCAGGCACUGGGGCCUUGGCCGCAAGCCCCACUAGCCCACAUAGCCUUACCCACCACUGCUCGUCACUAUAGAUUCCCUGGUGAGCUUCCUGCUCCUUUAGCCUCAUUGCCACUGUCAUCAGGUGCAGUGCUGUUUGUUUGCAGUGGUGGUGUGGGCAUGGUGUCACUAAGGAGAAAAUUGGGGCUUCGUUUAACCAGAC
rnacentral:lncRNA from 1 species